GUUGGGUUAAGUCCCGCAACGAGCGCCCGCCCUUAUCCUUGUUUGCCAGCGAGUAAUGUCGGGAACUCCAGGGAGACUGCCGGUGAUAAACCGGAGGAAGGUGGGGACGACGUCAAGUCAUCAUGGCCCUUACGAGUAGGGCUACACACGUGCUACAAUGGCGCAUACAGAGGGCAGCCAACUCGCGAGAGUGAGCGAAUCCCAAAAAGUGCGUCGUAGUCCGGAUUGGAGUCUGCAACUCGACUCCAUGAAGUCGGAAUCGCUAGUAAUCGUAGAUCAGAAUGCCACGGGAUAUUCCUC
rnacentral:rRNA from 1 species